rnacentral:rRNA from 1 species
GCCCACUACGCCUGGAACGGUGAGUGGGUCAAAGCCCCGGCGGCAUAGGAUGGGCCUGCGCCGUAUCAGGUUGUAGGGGGUGUAAAGUACCCUCUAGCCAUCAACGCGUACGGGUGUUGGGAGACAUUGCCCGGAGAUGGAUUCUGAGACACGAAUCCAGACCCUACGGGGUGCAGCAGGCGCGGAAACUUGGCAAUGCGAGAAAUCGUGACCAGGGAACUCCAAGUGCGUAGGGUAAGACCUACGCUUUUCUUGACUCUUCAAAGGUCUUGGAAUAAGGGGUGGUUAAGGACGGUGCCAGCCGCCGCGGUAAUACCGGCGCCUCAAGUGGUAGUCGCUUUUAUUGGGCCUAAAACGUCCGUAGCCGGUCUGGUGCAUUCGUGGGUAAAUCAACCCGCUCAACGGGUUGAAUUCUGCGAGCACGGCCAGACUUGGGACCGGGAGAGGUGUGGGGUACUCUCAGGGUAGGGGUAAAAUCCUGUCAUCCUGAGAGGACCACCUGUUGCGAAGGCGCCACACUAGAACGGAUCCGACGGUCAGGGACGAAACCUAGGGGCACGAACCGGAUUAGAUACCCGGGUAGUCCUAGGUGUAAACGCUGUGGACUUGAUGUUGGGGGCGCUCCGAGCGCUCUCAGUGUCGAAGCGAAGGUGAUAAGUCCACUGCCUGGGGAGUACGGUCGCAAGGCUGAAACUCAAAUGAAUUGACGG